rnacentral:rRNA from 1 species
UAGGGAAUAUUGGACAAUGGGUGAGAGCCUGAUCCAGCCAUGCCGCGUGCAGGAAGAAGGCGUUAUGGUUGUAAAGCUCUUUUCGGCGGGGAAGAUAAUGACGGUACCCGCAGAAGAAGCCCCGGCUAACUCUGUGCCAGCAGCCGCGGUAAUACAGAGGGGGCAAGCGUUAAUCGGAUUUACUGGGCGUAAAGCGUGCGUAGGCGGCUUUUUAAGUCGGAUGUGAAAUCCCCGGGCUCAACCUGGGAAUUGCAUUCGAUACUGGCAAGCUAGAGUAUGGGAGAGGAAGGUAGAAUUCCAGGUGUAGCGGUGAAAUGCGUAGAGAUCUGGAGGAAUACCGAUGGCGAAGGCAGCCUUCUGGCCUAAUACUGACGCUGAGGUGCGAAAGCAUGGGGAGCAAACAGGAUUAGAUACCCCCGUAGUCCCUGAGCGGGCUGGCAAGGCGCAU